CUCAUACUCCCUCCGUCCGAAAAUACUUGUCAUCAAAAUGGAUAAAAGGGGAUGUAUCUCCCUUUUAUCCAUUUUGAUGACAAGUAUUUUCGGACGGAGGGAGUACUAA
rfam:Triticum aestivum genome assembly, contig: Triticum_aestivum_CS42_TGACv1_scaffold_134945_2BL